rnacentral:rRNA from 1 species
AAGCUCAUUAGCUAGCUCACCCCCUAAAAUCCAAAAAAUCCUUAUUAAUAAACCCUAAUGAAAACCACCUAUAUAAUAAAACAUUUUACUACCUAAGUACGGGAGACGGAAAAGGAUACCGAAGCUACAGAUAAAGUACCGCAAGGGAACGCUGAAAUAGAAGUGAAACAAAUCAGUAUAAGCCUAUUAAAGCAGAGAUUAGUACUCGUACCUUUUGCAUCAUGAAUUAGCAAGUAAUCUCGAGCAAAGUGUACUUUAGUUCGUAACCCCGAAACCAGGUGAGCUACUCCAAGACAGCCUACUGGGCGCACCCGUCUCUGUGGCAAAAGAGUGGAAAGAGCUUCGAGUAGAGGUGACAUACCAACCGAACUUGGUUAUAGCUGGUUGCUUAAGAAUAGAAUACAAGUUCAGCCCUUUAUCUUCUUUAAUUCUCUUCUAAGAUCUUAAGAAAACAAAGGAGUCAAUCAAAAGGGGUACAGCCCUUUUGAAAAAGAUACAACUUUAGUAGAUGGGUAAAGAUCAUUAUACUAUAGGGUCUAUGUUACAGUUGGCCUAAGAGCAGCCAUCUCCUCAGAAAGCGUUAAAGCUCAAACCUUUCCCCCCCCCCCAUUAUCCCGAUCAUUAUAUCCCACCCCCCUAACCUAUAUUAAGCCUCUCUAUACCCAUAUAGAGGUGAUUAUGCUAAUACGAGUAAUAAGAGACUAAGAAUCUCUCCCUGCACAAGUGUACAUCGGAACGAACCCCCUCCGAAACUUAACGGCCCCAAUCAAGAGGGUACUGAAAUACUUAAUUAAUCACUAGAUAUGCUUCCGCCCCUCCCCCGUUGACCUUACACCAGAGUGCAUCCUUGGAAAGACAAAAUAAGGAAGAAGGAACUCGGCA